CCAAGGCCUUCUUUCUCAGCUUUGUGCAUUUUCCCCAACUAGCCUGCUAUAAUUAAUGGGCCAUUUGUCUGCCUGGCCCAAUUUAAAAAAAAUGGCCUCCACUCCUGUCUCGUUGUGUAGUACUGUGUAGGGAACAUUGUGGGGAAAAAUAUUAAAAGUAAUAUUUUGUGAAAAUUUAUAAAAAAAAAGUAUAUAUUCUAUUAAAAAUAAAAAUAAUUAUUAAUAUGAAUAUUAAUUUGGUGAUAUUAAUUACUAUAGGACCACGUCCACAACUUUGAUUUAAAGAGAUAUCUACUAUUUUAUCUCUGAUCCUAAAUUCUUGUAGUUCAACUUAAUUUAUAAUGUAACACAAUGGCAUACAAUAAUUAUAAUUCUUAAAAAUCCCCCUGAUGAGCCUGUAAGUUAGGCGAAACGCGCGUUCGGGCGCGUACACUAGACAUUUUUUCGUGAUUAUCAGGCUAGAAUCUUUGAGUGUUUUCAUUAACCCUCUUCCCUCUCACUAGCACGGACAUAUACCUUUGGAUCAUUUAUUACCUGGGACCUUGAGGGGCCAUGAGAGUUUGAGACACGAGCCGGUCAUAUUUAUUAGAUCGAUCAGGAUAAUAUUUGUUACUUGUGCAGUAUAUACAUAUUCUUUCAAGUAUCUAUUUGAUUACUUCCUAGCAUCAGCACUUCUGUCUUUUUACCAUCUAUCCUAUACCUGGUGCCCUUGAAGGCACCAUUCUAACUGUCUUUUAUUUGGUGUUCUAUUUAUUAGGGCUCAUGAGUCAUUUCAUUAAGGCUACUGGACAUAUUCUAGACAGUGUAGCCUUUUCACUUUUUUGAUUAAUCUUAUUUCUUUUUUCAUUAUGUUCAAAGACCCAUUUGAUAUGCUGAUGUGUUCUAUCUGUAUAAUUAAUUAGAUUUAAUUCUGUUCUUAUUUUAGAACUACACGAUUACUGCACUAACAAUCUCGUUUAUUAGAGCGAGUCUAUAGUGAUAGAAUCUUCUGUACUUCAGCAAUAUUUAUUUUGUACAGUGAUUCCUUUGUCCUGUUAUACAUAGUGACUAUUAUACUAAAUAGGAGCAUUUAACUCCUUUCAGUGGGCUCCCCCGCAUUGUAUCUUUUCUGUUGACACAUAGAGAUUAAUUUAACUUAGUCUCAGUUCAUAUUUAUUGUAACAGAUUCUAUUGAAUUCUACUGACAUUUUACAUUACACUUCAUUUCUGAUAUGUAAGAAUCAUUACACUUAACGAGUUGUCAGCUUUUCUUAGGGGGUUCCAAUGUACGGUAUCUAUUUUUGAUCUAUAGAUACUAUCAUGUAUUCACUCUCUUUAUUAUCUUAUCGAUCUACCAUUUCUUAUUUCUUAUUUUUUGUUUGUUUGUAUUUGCACGUAUGCUCUUUGUCUUGACUGCUGUAACUGACUUUUUGUCAAAUAGAUUAUAAUUACAAUUUAGUUGCUGUCCUUUUUCCUGGAAUUGUUAUUUAACAUGAUUCUGACUGAGAUGUAUUUAUGUUGCCUUUGGACAUACAUAUAAGGUUAAUCUUAAAAUCCUUACUCUAGAGUCUAGACAAUAGAACAAAUAACUAAAUUUAGUUUUGUAUGUGUAUAUAAUACCUGGUAAAUUUGACCAGGUGUCGCUUUCUAUGUUUAUAGCUUAAAUGACCUUAAAACAUCC
rnacentral:lncRNA from 1 species